GGUCCAAUAGUCUAGUUGGUUAGGACGUGGGUUUCUGAUUAUACCUAUUAUGUAAAUAAUUUGGAUAAUAGAAGCUGCCCGAAGCCUCAGUUCGAAUCUGGGUUGGACCU